rnacentral:misc_RNA from 1 species
AAAUCUUUCGAGCAUAGAACGCACACAGACGUAGUUUUGCGUGUUCGACGCGCCGGCGCGUUCUGGGAACGGCCUGUCGUUGCGGACGGCCUGGAGGGGCCUGCGAGUAUUUCCAUCAUUAAGGUGCGCUUCCGCUCAUGGAGACCACCCGCAACCUAUCAACAAAGAAAGCGGUUCGAUUUGCGCUGGCGCAAACUCGGCGACCCACGGUUCCGGCUAAAGAGAGGAACAAAUCAUCGAU